rnacentral:rRNA from 1 species
AGUGGCGUACGGCUGAGUAACGCGUAGGUGACUUGCCCAGAAGUGGGGAAUAACGAUUCGAAAGAAUCGCUAAUACCGCAUGUGGUUGUAUGGACUAAAGCCCCGCCUCUGGAGAGGCCUGCGUCCGAUUAGCUAGUUGGUGGGGUAACUGCCUACCAAGGCGACGAUCGGUAGCUGAUCUGAGAGGAUGAUCAGCCAGACUGGGACUGAGACACGGCCCAGACUCCUACGGGAGGCAGCAGUUAGGAAUUUUGCACAAUGGGGGAAACCCUGAUGCAGCAACGCCGCGUGGAUGAUGAAGGCCUUCGGGUCGUAAAAUCCUUUUCAACGGGAAGAUGGACGGUACCGUUGGAAUAAGCAUCGGCUAACUACGUGCCAGCAGCCGCGGUAAUACGUAGGAUGCAAGCGUUAUCCGGA